CCUACGGGAGGCAGCAGUGAGGAAUAUUGGUCAAUGGGCGCGAGCCUGAACCAGCCAUGUCGCGUGAAGGAUGACUGCCCUCCGGUUUGUAAAUUUCUUUUCUAAAGGAAUAAAGUGAAGCAUGUGUUCCUUUUUGUAUGUACUUUAUGACUAGGGAUCGGCCAACCCCGUGCCAGCAGCCGCGGUAAUACGGAGGGUGCGAGCGUUUUCCGGAUUUGUUGGGUUUAAAGGGAUCGUAGAUGGGUUGUUAAGUCAGUUGUGAAAUCUUGCGGCUCAACCGUAAAAUUGCAAUUGAUACUGGCAGUCUUGAGUACAGUAGAGGUAGGCGGAAGUCGGGGUGUAGCGGUGAAAUGCGUAGAUAUCACGAAGAACACCGAUGGCGAAGGCAGCUUACUAAACUGCCACUGACAGUGAGGCGCGAAAGUGUGGGUAUCAAACAGGAUUAGAUACCCUUGUAGUC
rnacentral:rRNA from 1 species